rnacentral:misc_RNA from 1 species
UUGUAUCACGCGAUUUGCAUCUGUAAGACUCACAGGAAGUGAUGAUGUGCAGUUUUAGCAGGAUAUGGAUAUAUUUAAAAGAAAAAAUUUGUUGAGAUAUUCUCUUAUUUUUGUUAAUACAGAUAAUCCGACUGUGCUUUUAACUGGUUUGGUAGUUAACCCAUUAUUUACUUGCACUGAGUGAUCUCAGAAUAAUUUAUGUAAAAACAUGUGCACGUUGCAUCACACUCCUACUCCUAGGUUGAUUGUAUAAUUUUAAAUGGAUAGUAAGGAUAUAAUACAUGAAUUUCAUCAAGAUAAAACAUCUUCAGGGUGCAAGUCCCCAGUGGUGAAAUCGUUCCUGGCGGGUUCCCUUAGUGGAACAUGUUCAACUUUAUUGUUCCAGCCAUUAGAUCUGGUAAAAACAAGAGUGCAAGCUUCUAUUAGUGUAAAUGGAGCCCGACCAGCUGGCAUGGUGGCCAUUGUGGCAAAUGUUGUACAGCAAGAUAAAAUUGUUGGCCUUUGGAGGGGCCUUGUUCCAUCCAUCUCAAGAUGUGUUCCUGGGAUUGGAAUCUAUUUUUCCAGCAUCCAUUACCUGAAGGGUAAAUUUGCGCACUCCAAGAGUCCAUUGGAGUCUAUGAUUAUUGGUGGAAGUGCAAGAUCUGUUGCCGUGGUUACCAUGCUGCCAUUUACAGUCCUGAAAACCAGAUAUGAAAGUGGAGAAUUUCAUUACAAUAAUAUGGUCCGAGGAUUUAGUACUAUCUACAAGUUAGAAGGAAUGAAAGGCCUAUAUAGUGGUAUUGCACCAACUUUGCUCAGGGAUGUGCCUUUCUCUGGCUUGUAUUUUAUGUUCUACACUCAGCUCAAACAGCUUUCAAUCACAGAGAUUCCUCCUGCAGCUAACCAGGGCCUACUUCUAGCGAAGGAUCAGAAUCUGCCCCUGACUCGGGACUUCCCAUGCUACAUUUCACGUGCGGCGUGACAGCAGGCAUGAUGGCGUCGCUGAUUACACAGCCUGCAGACGUUUUGAAAACACAUAUGCAACUUUAUCCAAAACGUUAUGGACGUUUAAGAAAUGCUGCCAAGUUUGUUUAUGAGAGGGACGGGUUAGAAGGAUUUUGGCGGGGCAUUAUACCUCGGACAA